rnacentral:rRNA from 1 species
CCAUCGCCUGUUUACCAAAAACAUCACCUCUAGCAUAACAAGUAUUAGAGGCAUUGCCUGCCCAGUGACUAAAGUUAAACGGCCGCGGUAUCCUGACCGUGCAAAGGUAGCAUAAUCACUUGUUCCUUAAUUAGGGACUAGAAUGAAUGGCUAAACGAGGGUUCAACUGUCUCUUACUUUCAAUCAGUGAAAUUGACCUUCCAGUGAAGAGGCUGGAAUACUACAAUAAGACGAGAAGACCCUAUGGAGCUUUAAUUUACUAGUUUAAUUUAUAUAAUAACAACCUAAUGGACCAAGACAAAAUAAAUAUAAACUAAAAAAUUUCGGUUGGGGUGACCUCGGAGAAUAGAAAAUCCUCCGAAUGAUUUUAACCUAGACCUACAAGUCAAAGUAAUAUUAAUAUCUUAUUGACCCAAUUAUUGAUCAACGGACCAAGUUACCCUAGGGAUAACAGCGCAAUCCUAUUUAAGAGUUCAUAUCGACAAUUAGGGUUUACGACCUCGAUGUUGGAUCAGGACAUCCCAAUGGUGCAGAAGCUAUUAAUGGUUCGUUUGUUCAACGAUUAAACCCG